rnacentral:ncRNA from 1 species
CCGAAAGGGUGAGGUGGUCGCGUCCUUAAAUGCUAGUCCGUCCCUCCAACCGGGGGGGCGGGCCACACGCUCAAAUUGCGGGAAGUUCCUAAGAGCCCUAGAUACCAAGCCGGCGUCCGAAAGGCGUCGGUGGCCAGGUUAAUUGCCUCGGGUACGGUCAAAACGCUAGGGAUGCAACAAUGGAUAAUCCGCAGCCAAGCCCCUAAACCUCCGCCCACCGGACGGAGGCACGGGGAAGGUUCAGAGACUAAAUGGGUGUGGGUGGGCGCAUCGCGAGGUGCGCCUGCUUAAGAUAUAGUCCGUCCACCUCUCGAAAGGUUG